rnacentral:rRNA from 1 species
GAGACAGCAGCAGCCGCGGUAAUACGAAGGGGGCUAGCGUUGCUCGGAAUGACUGGGCGUAAAGGGCGCGUAGGCGGCGAUCAAAGUCAGGCGUGAAAUUCCUGGGCUCAACCUGGGGGCUGCGUUUGAUACUUGGUUGCUAGAGUGAGGAAGAGGGUCGUGGAAUUCCCAGUGUAGAGGUGAAAUUCGUAGAUAUUGGGAAGAACACCGGUGGCGAAGGCGGCAACCUGGCUCAUUACUGACGCUGAGGCGCGAAAGCGUGGGGAGCAAACAGGAUUAGAUACCCCCGUAGUCCCUGUCUCUUAUAC